AGAGUUUGAUCCUGGCUCAGGACGAACGCUGGCGGCGUGCUUAACACAUGCAAGUCGAACGGAAAGGCCCUGCUUUUGUGGGGUGCUCGAGUGGCGAACGGGUGAGUAACACGUGAGUAACCUGCCCUUGACUUUGGGAUAACUUCAGGAAACUGGGGCUAAUACCGGAUAGGAGCUCCUGCUGCAUGGUGGGGGUUGGAAAGUUUCGGCGGUUGGGGAUGGACUCGCGGCUUAUCAGCUUGUUGGUGGGGUAGUGGCUUACCAAGGCUUUGACGGGUAGCCGGCCUGAGAGGGUGACCGGCCACAUUGGGACUGAGAUACGGCCCAGACUCCUACGGGAGGCAGCAGUGGGGAAUGUUGCACAAUGGGCGGAAGCCUGAUGCAGCAACGCCGCGUGCGGGAUGACGGCCUUCGGGUUGUAAACCGCUUUCGCCUGUGACGAAGCGUGAGUGACGGUAAUGGUAAAGA
rnacentral:rRNA from 1 species